UGACGACCCGGACGCCGCCAGGCCCCGCCCACCCCCCGCCCCCUCCAGAGUCCAGGCCCUGCCCCGCCCGGCUCGGACCUGCGCCGUGGCCGCCACCCCUGGCGCCACCGGGGACAGUCGGGGCCGCAGUGGCGCCGCUCCUCCUCGCCCUCCGGCGGCGGGCCGCGCGGCGCGGGGAGCAGGCCGAGGGGAGCCGGGCGGAGCCAGGGAGCCCGCGGGGAGCUGGCGGCGCCUCACCGCCGCCAGUUUUACGGGGCUGAGGAUCAAGGCCCAAGGAGCCCUAGGGGAGGCCUGGGAGCCCAGCGAGCACGUGUUCUCUGCAAGGCUUGGGGCUCCUCUGCAGAGUGAGGGGUUUCACCAGGAGGCACCUCCACCUGGCCACCUCUUCAGGGUCCGCCGCCUCCCACCCUGUGACUGUUGGGCCCCCAGCGGGAGCCUGACUGCUUCUUCCCCCACAGGCCUUUGCAGCCUCCCCACGGGGGGGGGGGGCGGGGAGGGGGUACUUUGGGGCAGAAAUGCCAGGCAACAGGGGCCAGAGGCUGCCUACCUGCUCAGCACAGGUGCAAGCAUGUCCCAGAUGCCUCGUGGGCACUGGGACCAUACCACGGACCAGGCUGCUGGGGUCUGAGUCAGAUCCCGGACCAGUGGGGACAUUGCAGAGGUGGGCACGUCCAUGCGUUUCCCCCGGGGGGAGUGGGGGCGUGCUGGGUGUGGGUGGGAGGUGCCUGGGAGAGGUGCCCUGGAGGGGGUGCUUGAGUGAGCCGGAGACCACCCAGGGGAGAAGGGCCCCACGGGGCAGCUUGGGCAGCAAAAGGCUGCUGGUUGCCUAGGGGCCCAAUGUAGGGAGCUUCUGGGGUCUCUCCCAGGCGUUAGCGGGAGGGGCAGGGAGGGGCUGGGCGCCAGAGACACCCGAGGAGCUCUCCUGGAGGGGACUGUGAGUGCUAGCUGGAUGGGAGGGGCCGGCAGACCCACCCUGCAGCUCUUCGGCUGAGCUGACCCCGCCCCGGGGACUUUCUCUCUGCCUCUGCCCCGCUGGGCUGUGCCCUGUGCACUUUUUAAGUGAAGUCGGAAGCCAUUUUCAAAAUCGCUUCUCCGGGAAGCAGAACCUAAAGGCACAGGCGGGCGGUUGUUUGAUUUGCAACUUAAAGGGUGGCGGUUUAGGGUCCCCCCCCCACCAGACCAUCACUCUCCUGGGAGGAGCACCCCAAGCCGGCUCGCGUGCUCCCCCACAGGCUUCCCUCCCAACAGAGCUCUGAUUAAAAGGUGGAUACCCUUAGGGAGGGGCCCACCAGCCCAGGGGGCCUGGGUGCUGACCCCACUUGCGGACUCCUUGCUGACCCAGUGUUGUGUCCUCUGAGUGUCCCCUUCAAAGGCCCACCCUACACACGCUGACCAGCCCAGCCUGGCCAGCAGGUUCUAGACAGAAGAGCCCCAGGCAGUGGGAGAGCUGCCCUCAGGCUGUGGAGUGACCCCCAGGCUCAGGGAGAUCCAGCUGGGAGCCUCCCCCCUGGGUCCCCGGACUCUGCCCCCAAAGCCUCUGCUCUCUGCCGCAGGCACCGGGCCUACCCAGCGCCCAGCCCGUGGCCUGGCCUGCCUGGCAGAGUGAGCAGGGCCGGCAAACACGGCCGGGUGUGCAGGGUGGUGGCGAGAAGGGGGACGGGAGACCAUCCGGCACCCUCGCUGGGCCGAGCUGAGUGACCACGAGCUGGCAGGAGGGGCGGCGGGGCGCUCCGGGCAGGCGCUAGCCGCUGCGUCCGGCUCCCCUGGUGUGGUUUCUGUGCUGGGCCUCGGAGGUCCUCCAGGAUCUGCCCCCACACCCCCGCUCCCUGCCGCCCCCCUGCCAGCCCAGUACCAGCGUCCCUCCUCGAGGACGGGCCGGGCCCCUGAGAACCAGGGCCUGGGUGGGGACGUUGAUCUCACUAAGCACCCACGUGCUAGCACCCAUCCCACGUCUGGGGCAGAGUGGGGUGUGCCAGCGGACCAGGCCUCCCUGAGGCCAGCACUGGCACACGGCCCCUGUGCUGUCCCCAAAGGCAGGGGUUCCAGGGAGUCUGCUUUGCAAAUGCUGAACCCAGGGGACCCGAAACUUCCCCUGCGGGUCACAGACCCCAUUGGAAACAUUUGUUUGGUUCUGUUCCCCUCUGGACACCCUGCGUCCGCGAGACCGGCGUGGUUCUGUCUGACCACCCUGCGGGGUCAGGUCUGGGGCCCUGUCCCCACCCCAGGGAUUAUGAGGACUGUCACGUCUCGGGACGAAGCAUCUCACAGGCCUGGCUGGGAACGGAACCCGCCGGGACUCCUGGAGGUGCCACAGAGAGCAGUUAAGAGGGCGGACUCAGGCCACGUUCGUUGCUGGAGUCCCGCUGCCUCCCCUGUGUCUCAGCGUCGUCCUCCGUAGAGUGGGAAUCAUGGCAGUGACACACACAGCCUGCCGGUGGAGUGAACCGUCUAACGUGGGAAGGAUUUCGCGUGGCACUGGCCGCAGUAAGGGCUCUGCAAGAGUCAGUGCUCAUCACGGCCAUCACACCACCGCCACCGUGGCCUGUCACCAUCAGUUGUCCCCUCUGUCAUCACCAUCACCACCACCUCUGUCAUCACAACCACCUGCCAUCACCCCUGUCACUGGGCCAUCAGUGGAACCACAGGGGGAGGUCAGGGCUGAGCGGGGCACAUCCCCUGAGCAGCGCCUGCCCGGUGGUGGCAGCGGAGGUGCGGAAGGGCCCGGGUGCCUCCCGGGGAGCUGUCGUCGCCCCACUCACCCCAUGGCCUGCGCCCCCCACUCCGCUCCGGGGCCUUGUCAGGGCAGCUGAGGCAGCCAGGCCCGGAUCCGAGGGGGCCCGCGGUAGCAUCUGAACAAGAACAGUUUUCGGGCGGGGGAUCAUUUCCCAAGGUAAUUGCUUCCAUUUCAAAACAGUUGAUCCGUGGCCGCCCUUUUUCUGAUCCAGCUCGCUGGCUCUUCCGUGGUCGGGGAAACCACGGCAGGCGACAGGGAAGUCCCUCGUUCACCCUUGCACACCUGUCACACUCACCUCCAAGGGCUCCCCAGGGCUCGAGGGCACCUGCCCAGUUCUUCAUCUCACCUGGUUUGCCGUUCGCCUCUGGUGUCCCCAUGACUUCCCGCAGGAGAAAUGCCCCCUCCGCUGACCCCAACCGCCCGGGCGGAAGUGACCCAGCCUCUCUCCCAGAGUCCAAGACCAGCGGCGCUCCCGGGGAGGCUCCGCGUGACGAGGCACAGCGGAACACGGCCCGUGGCAGGAUAUUCCCAGAGCCUGCCUGCCUGGUCCUCCCCAAGAACUCCAGCGGGCGGCCGGAGAAACAGACCGCAGAGGGUGGAGCACAUAAAAACAGUCUCCCCAAAGAGCUGCAGGCCCACGCGUGGGGACGGCGGGCAGAGUGACGAGCUGGGGCCACUGCCCCGGGGUCCCGCCAGACCCACAUCUUCUCACUGAGGACCACCACACCCUGGACGGAAACCAGCCUCGGUCCCAGGUGGCCGCCUGGGUUUUCAUUCUCCUGACACCUCAUUAACCUCAUUAACCUCA